CUUCUCGCCACCGGCGUCCACCGCCGAGCCGAGCCGAGCCGAGCGAACGAGCCCCUCCACUCCCCAACUCUCCCUACCAUCUCACGCACACCGGCCGUCCACCUCGCCGUUUCGGUCCCCGCAUUGUCCAACACCUCUGGUCCCCGCGCGCUUCGCCGGAGACUCGCCGCGAAAGCAUAGUUGAUGAGUGCCACCAGCUCCAAGGCUGCCAGCAACAAGAAGAAACGAUCAAGGCGCGUCCUGUUGAAGUCUGCUCCAUCUAGCCACCCUCUUCCGCCAUCUCCGUGCCGUGACGCAUUGUUCACUAGCUGUAUGAAGGCACAUGCCAACCAGGCUGCUAUUCCAGCAACGAUGGAUUGCGCCGCCGGUGCUACCAGCUUCAUUUCUGGGGAUGACUCGCUCUUUAUGAACUCAAUCAGUCCACUGAAGGAUGCUGCAUCCAUGAUGCUUAGCAGGAAGAAUUGCAGCACCAACCAGAACACGGACAUCGGGACGCCUGCUCCUGUCGAUGUUAGUCCAUGCUGUUCUGCGACGGUCAGCCUUCUUGUUUCCACUAACGCCGCAAGGCAUGCUGCUGCUACCCCGCACACCGAGCCAGCACCGAUACUCUGCAGUGGGGUGAUUCCGUGUGUGUGGCCUGUAAAUCUUUUUAGCAGUGGCGUCAAUAUCUGCCUGUAGCAUGGUUGCAUAAGCAUGUGAAAUGCUGUUGGGAUUGCAAUGAGAGAGGCGGAAGGUAUCUGGAUCGCGCCUAUCCCUUUGUCCAUGGUGCUGCCGACUUGUAUCGUUAGUGUCAUUAGCAGCGUGAAGGGCAGGUAGAUGAGCAAGCAGCUGAUGAAGAUUGGAAGCAUUUGGGUGAUGGCCUUUGUUAACUCCUCGACCCGAGUGGUGCUGCAGAAUGAAAAUGAAUUGUUACCUCCAUCAAAUAUAUUCUAGAUUUUUCUAAGAAUAUGCUAAAAGGAUUAUAGUUGAGUACUUGAGUUAAUAUCACGAUAUUGCUACGUCCGGGCAUUUCUUUUACUCUUUAAAUUGUUGACAUCCUAGGUUGUAACACUUCUACUUAUUUUCAGAAAUAUAAAUGUACUAACAAUUAGCUAAA